rnacentral:rRNA from 1 species
AUUGAACGCUGGCGGCAUGCUUUACACAUGCAAGUCGAACGGCAGAAGGGACCUUGCCCUUGGAUUGAGCGGCGGACGGGUGAGUAAUGCCUAGGAAUGUGCCUAGUAGUGGGGGAUAACGUCGGGAAACGGGGGUUAAUACCGCAUACGACCUGAGGGUGAAAGCGGGGGACCGUAGGACCUCACGCUAUCAGAUGAGCCUAGGUCGGAUUAGCUAGUUGGUGGGGUAAAGGCCUACCAAGGCGACGAUCCGUAGCUGGUCUGAGAGGACGAUCAGCCACACUGGAACUGAGACACGGCCCAGACUCCUACGGGAGGCAGCAGUGGGGAAUUUUGGACAAUGGGGGAAACCCUGAUCCAGCCAUGCCGCGUGUGGGAAGAAGGCCUUCGGGUUGUAAAGCGCUUUUGGUUGGGAAGAAAGCCACUGAGUUAAUACCCCGGGGGGAUGACGUUACCGGAAGAAUAAGCACCGGCUAACUACGUG